AAUCACUAAGAGAAUGAUGUGCAGAGGUCACAGCAGAGAGAGGCAGGUGGCAGCAGAAGGUGACUGACAGUUGGCUGAUGAACAAGUGGCUGGUGAGGCAGUGAGCAGAGCGAGCAGCCAGAAGUACGAUUGGUGGAGAGGCACAGUGAGCGGCCAGCAGGGCAGCUGGUAGAAAGGCGCAGUGGGCGGCGGAUGAGCAGUGGAGCGAGUAAAGUGCCUCCUUACCUCUACACAGAGUGGGAGGUGAACUCUACAGAGGCACCUUUGAAGCCUGGGUCUGCACAGACCAAGGACAGCAACUGAAACCUGGAUGUCCUGUCACAUACAAGGAGACUGGAGCACUAGUGUACAAGCCCGGAGAAGGAAAAGAGCAAUCAGGAGGAAGAUUGUUUGAGAAUGUAAUUAGAAUAGAGAAACAGCAUGAUACAGCUAAACUGUCUUCUUUACUCUAACAACAUCUAAUCCAGAGGGUCCAGUAGCAGAGAGGAGACAGAAGGAAGGAGCUAGUGCUAAGCCAAGUGAGGCAGCAUUGGAUCAUCUCCCUACCUGAUAUAUGUGGAGUAAGGAAGCAUUGUGAAGGGUGAGGAAGAGGAAGAAGAGACCCUGGUAAAGGAUCCAGGAAUGGAGAGAGACAAGGGUUACCUAGGAUUCUGUGCUCUUUGCAGAAGCUCUAAGACACAGGUGUGAAUGGUUUCUAGCUGUCUAGAUCUUAGCUCCCAAAUCAGUGGAGCAUCUGAGAAGACAAGGACAAGCCCAAAAGCCAUGGCCAUUUAGCAACCAAUGACCAUGGCUAUCCCAGCUCUCAUCAGGAAGCCAAGCAAUGUUGCCCAGCUGGGGAAAAAAGGAAUGGGAAGGUGCUAGAGUUGUUUAAGAAUUGGCUGCUGCAGGCUUCUGGGGGUUCACCUGAAGUGGGACAAAGGACAUCAGACAGAUGGGGAGACAGAGCUUGAACAAAGGGUGUUUACUACAGCUUGGCUGGGCUCUCCCAGAAUGGACUGUGCUGUAACUAUCUUUUCUCAGUACUAAUCAAGGACUUUUUAUGCUGUGUUCCAGUCAACUAAUAA